rnacentral:rRNA from 1 species
GAUGAACGCUAGCGGGAGGCCUAACACAUGCAAGCCGAGCGGUAGAGUCUCUUCGGAGACUUGAGAGCGGCGCACGGGUGCGGAACACGUGUGCAACCUGCCUUUAUCUGGGGGAUAGCCUUUCGAAGGGAAGAUUAAUACCCCAUAAUAUACUGGAUGGCAUCAUCUGGUAUUGAAAACUCCGGUGGAUAGAGAUGGGCACGCGCAAGAUUAGAUAGUUGGUGAGGUAACGGCUCACCAAGUCAGCGAUCUUUAGGGGGCCUGAGAGGGUGAUCCCCCACACUGGUACUGAGACACGGACCAGACUCCUACGGGAGGCAGCAGUGAGGAAUAUUGGACAAUGGGUGAGAGCCUGAUCCAGCCAUCCCGCGUGAAGGACGACGGCCCUAUGGGUUGUAAACUUCUUUUGUAUAGGGAUAAACCUAGAUACGUGUAUCUAGCUGAAGGUACUACACGAAUAAGCACCGGCUAACUCCGUG